rnacentral:rRNA from 1 species
UACAGAGGAUGCAAGCGUUAUCCGGAAUGAUUGGGCGUAAAGCGUCUGUAGGUGGCUUUUUAAGUCCGCUGUCAAAUCCCAGGGCUCAACUCUGGACAGGCGGUGGAAACUACCAAGCUGGAGUACGGUAGGGGCAGAGGGAAUUUCCGGUGGAGCGGUGAAAUGCGUAGAUAUCAAGAGGAACACCUGCGGCGAAGGCGGGUUGCUGGGCCGACACUGACGCUGAUGCGCGAAAGCCAGGGGAGCGAACGGG